AUUGAACGCUGGCGGCAUGCCUAACACAUGCAAGUCGAACGGCAGCACGGUCUGGUUUACCAGAUGGGUGGCGAGUGGCGAACGGGUGAGUAAAGCGUAGGAAUAUACCUUAAAGAGGGGGAUAACCUGGGGAAACUCAGGCUAAUACCGCGUAAACUCUGCGGAGCAAAGCUGGGGACCGAAAGGCCUGGCGCUUUAAGAAUAGCCUGCGUCCGAUUAGCUAGUUGGUGGGGUAAAGACUCACUAAGGCGACGAUCGGUAGCUGGUCUGAGAGGACGAACAGCCACACUGGGACUGAGGCACGGCCCAGACUCCUACGGGAGGCAGCAGUGGGGAAUAUUGGACAAUGGGGGGAACCCUGGAUCCAGCAAUGCCGCGUGUGUGAAGAAGGCCUGAGGGUUGUAAAGCACUUUCAGUGGGGAGGAGGAUUACUAGGUUAAGAGCCAGGUAAUUGGACGUUACCCACAGAAGAAGCACCGGCUAACUCCGUGCCAGCAGCCGCGGUAAAGUCGAUA
rnacentral:rRNA from 1 species